AGAAACUGUCACAGCCCAGAGGAGCCUAAGGAGACAUGGCAACUAAAUGGAACGCAGUAUCCUGGAUGGAAUCCUGGGGCACAGAAAGGACAUGUAAUGAAGAGUUUCCAGGUAAAACAAUCAGACUGGUGUCCGAAAGAAGCUUCUGAAAUCGACUCGGCUAAAUACUUCCUAACCCCUUCUCCGCUAACAACGCAAAUCCCCCGCGGGUCCUGCGUCUUCAGAGCUGCGCUCUUUUCCUACGACAGAGGCGCUGCGUCCGUCGCGCCUGCGGCGUCAGUUUCUCAGACGCCCUCCCGACACGGACGACAGGGACGGCCGGGCCCGGGAAGACCCGGAGAGCCAACCUGGUGCCUGCCGUUCUCGGAGGGGCCGCUGGGCGGCGGGGCCAGGUCUCCGCUGCUGCCUUAGCUUCUGGGGCCCAGGGCUUCAGCGAACGCGCUUCCUACUCGCAUUUCCCAGGGCUCGUUAGGAUGCAGCGUUCACGUCUACUCCUUGCAGAACUCACCGGCAACAUCCUGCACUCGUCAGGUUUUGCCUUCAUGCAGCGAACAUCCUACGUCUUCGCCAGAGCGAGGGACGUAGCAAAAACAGCUGCCCGGAGGCAGUGAAUGCGGAAGAAAAAGGAGGUAAAAGAAUACAGCCGGUUCCACGGUCUUCGCUCAGUAAGAGAGUAAGUAACUUCGGAAACCCUGAAUGGAGCUGGUGUCGAAGAAGAAAAGGGCUAGAACUCUUCAUGGCUACACUUGUGUUUAAAGAUCAAAGUUAAACUUUGUAUUCUUCACUGGCACGUUUUCUCAAAACACUGGUUUGUUACUCUUUUCUUUCUUAAAUCAACUAGAUGUGCUUAAUGAACGUCACUGUUAAAAGAGGAAAGAAAUCUGAACUACUUCCUUGGCAAAAGGUCUCACCAGGGACUUCAAAGGACGCGCACAGUUACAAAAUAACAUUCGCCAUCACCAUGCUGGAAACACCCACGGGAGGGAUUUUCAUAGGCAGAUAAAAAUAAUUUCUAAGGCUUGACAAUAGCAAAAGCAGUUUUUCCUAGCUAUUCUGAGUUUACUCUUUUAAAAAUGUACAUAUUUAAUUUAGGAUUUUGAAAUACGUGUUAAAAGGUAAUAAUACAGUCUCACGGUUAGGGGAAAAAAAGUUAGCUGAUGAAAACUCUCUCUCUGCCCCUGCCUGCCAGUGCCCUCCUGUGUCCUGUGCUCAAAUAUACAAAUAAAUGGGAGUGUGU